UACGUAGGGGGCAAGCGUUGUCCGGAUUUAUUGGGCGUAAAGAGCGUGUAGGCGGCUUUGCAAGUCCGUUGUGAAGACUCGAGGCUCAACCUCGAGACGCCGGUGGAAACUGCAAAGCUAGAGUCCGGAAGAGGAGAGUGGAAUUCCUGGUGUAGCGGUGAAAUGCGCAGAUAUCAGGAGGAACACCCGUGGCGAAAGCGGCUCUCUGGGACGGUACUGACGCUGAGACGCGAAAGCGUGGGGAGCAAACAGG
rnacentral:rRNA from 1 species